rnacentral:rRNA from 1 species
GACGUAGGGGGCGAGCGUUGUCCGGAUUUAUUGGGCAUAAAGAGCUCGUAGGCGGUUCGUCGCGUCGGCUGUGAAAUCCCGAGGCUCAACCUCGGGUCUGCAGUCGAUACGGGCGGACUGGAGUUCGGCAGGGGAGACCGGAAUUCCUGGUGUAGCGGUGAAAUGCGCAGAUAUCAGGAGGAACACCGGUGGCGAAGGCGGGUCUCUGGGCCGAUGACUGACGCUGGAGGAGCGAAAGCGUGGGGAGCGAACAGG